rnacentral:rRNA from 1 species
GAACGCUCGUAGCAAUACGGGAGUGGCAAACGGGUGAGUAACGCGUGGGAACCUGCCCAGAGGUAGGGAAUAACCGCGGGAAACUGCGGCUAAUACCCUAUGUGUCCUGAGGGACAAAGAUUUAUCGCCUUUGGAGGGGCCCGCGUCGGAUUAGGUAGUUGGUGGGGUAACGGCCUACCAAGCCAUCGAUCCGUAGCUGGUCUGAGAGGAUGAUCAGCCACACUGGGACUGAGAUACGGCCCAGACUCCUACGGGAGGCAGCAGUGGGGAAUAUUGGACAAUGGGGGCAACCCUGAUCCAGCAAUGCCGCGUGAGUGAUGAAGGCCUUCGGGUUGUAAAGCUCUUUCGGCGGGGAAGAUGAUGACGGUACCCGCAGAAGAAGCCCCGGCUAACUUCGUG